GGAGGAGAGGUAGAACCUACAAACACUCUCCCUGGGCAGUGCUGAGCAAAUUAAAAGACUACAAUCGGUCUUCAUAAAGUGGAGGAAGGGACAGGAAGUGUUGUAAAAAUGCACUGAAAAAGAUGAUGAACUUCAUGUGCAAGAGAUCUUCAUCCUGAAUUUUUGGAUUGAAGGAGCUUGGACUGCUUCUGGUACUUCACAUGGACAUAAUUGAAUAGGAGAGAAAAUUGGGCUGGAUUGCAUUUUGGAAACCAUAUGGUACUUUCUUGGAACCCAAGCUGCAUGCUGCCACAUCUAUAUAUUCUCCAGAAAUGGAAGGUUCAUAGGAUCAUAGAUAUAAAGCUGGAAGGGACCUUAGACCAUCAAGUCCAACUCUCAUUUUACAGGGCAUCUGGCAUGUGUAAAGCCAUAUUAUAAACUACAGAAGAAACAUUGACCUUUGGAAUUUGGUGAUAAAACUCAACUCAUUUGAGCUGCCAAAGGCAUUUAUAAAAGAAGAAAAAUAUACAAAUGCCUACACAAGAUUAAGUGUCCUUCCUUCACCAUGAGUCAUUAAAGCAUAGAAUAGGUCCUUUUG
rnacentral:lncRNA from 1 species